UCCCAGGUGGCUCAGUGGUAAAGAACCUGCCUGCCAAAGCAGGAGAUGCCUGAUAAGCAGGAGACACAGGUUCAAGCCCUGGGUUGGGAA
rnacentral:tRNA from 1 species